GGGAGAAUCUUCGUGACAAUGUUCAACAUCCCCUGAAAUGCCUUAUCGGACACACCAUUUUUUGCCUUCCAUUGCACAAAUUCUAGUGUCGUACCUAGUUUUUUAUGGCCCUGCUGGCAACCUGGGUACAACAAUUUUUGAUGAUCAUCUAUCAUGCGCUGCAACUUUGCUGCUUCCUUCUCAGUUUCGCAAUCUCUGUAUGCAUCUCGUAUCACCUGACCAAGGUCAUCAGUAGGGUCAUUUUCUGCAAACUCAUCUUCAUCAGCCUCGCCCAUUGUAGUACCUGCAAAAGCUUGGCCUGCAACCCAGUCCGGAAUGGUGUCAUCUUCCUCCUCCUCCUCGC
rnacentral:lncRNA from 1 species